rnacentral:rRNA from 1 species
AGCGAACGCUGGCGGCAGGCUUAACACAUGCAAGUCGAGCGGGCACUUUCGGGUGUCCGCGGCGGACGGGUGAGUAACGCGUGGGAACGUGCCCUCUGGUUCGGAAUAACUCAGGGAAACUUGAGCUAAUACCGGAUACGCCCUUUUGGUGAAAGGCUUGCUGCCGGAGGAUCGGCCCGCGUCUGAUUAGCUAGUUGGUGAGGUAACGGCUCACCAAGGCGACGAUCAGUAGCUGGUCUGAGAGGAUGAUCAGCCACACUGGGACUGAGACACGGCCCAGACUCCUACGGGAGGCAGCAGUGGGGAAUAUUGGACAAUGGGCGCAAGCCUGAUCCAGCCAUGCCGCGUGAGUGAUGAAGGCCUUAGGGUUGUAAAGCUCUUUUAUCCGGGACGAUAAUGACGGUACCGGAGGAAUAAGCCCCGGCUAACUUCGUG